rnacentral:lncRNA from 1 species
UCAACUCCUUUAUUUUCCCUUCCAAUUGCCUUACUUUGACAAGUAAUUUCUCAUUCAUUUUUAAUCCGUUUUGGACGUGAGCAUAUAUCAAAAUGAAGAUAUCACGGAGGAGAACACGAAUGUAAUCAAUAACUCGUUUUGAUUAUAUUCAUAGUCCAAAAUUUGUGCUAAAAAAUGGAGAAAAUCCAUUUUUGGAAAUUAAUAAAAUUAAUUUUCCAACAUAUAUGUGUGUGUGUCUAAGUUAUAACACUUAUAUCUUGGAAUUUAUACAUGCACUUGAGAAACAUGCUACCCAUUUUAUUUUAUAUUCGUAAAAAUGUAUAUUACUCGCUUAAAUAGGUACUAUAUACUUGAGAAACAAUUUUGAACUCACAUCAAAGGGGUCAAAAAUAAGGUCGACUUUACCCUUUACAAAACUAAGUAAAGGCUUAGGGUUUUAAGUUAUAACACUUAUAUCUUGGAAUUUAUACAUGCACUUGAGAAACAUGCUACCCAUUUUAUUUUAUAUUCGUAAAAAUGUAUAUUACUCGCUUAAAUAGGUACUAUAUACUUGAGAAAC